rnacentral:rRNA from 1 species
CCUACGGGUGGCUGCAGUGGGGAAUAUUGGACAAUGGGCGAAAGCCUGAUCCAGCCAUGCCGCGUGUGUGAAGAAGGCCUUCGGGUUGUAAAGCACUUUCAGUGGGGAAGAAAGCCUUGGGGCUAAUACCCUCGAGGAAGGACAUCACCCACAGAAGAAGCACCGGCUAACUCCGUGCCAGCAGCCGCGGUAAUACGGAGGGUGCGAGCGUUAAUCGGAAUUACUGGGCGUAAAGCGCGCGUAGGCGGUCUGAUAAGCCGGUUGUGAAAGCCCCGGGCUCAACCUGGGAAGGGCAUCCGGAACUGUCAGGCUAGAGUGCAGGAGAGGAAGGUAGAAUUCCCGGUGUAGCGGUGAAAUGCGUAGAGAUCGGGAGGAAUACCAGUGGCGAAGGCGGCCUUCUGGACUGACACUGACGCUGAGGUGCGAAAGCGUGGGUAGCAAACAGGAUUAGAUACCCCUGUAGUC